UCUCCGUUGGUGAACCAGCGGAGAGAUCAUUAAAGGAACUCGCAAGACUCCUAACCCACUGUGAACCUACCCGACGUUGCCUCGGCGGGCGCCCGGCCUCGUGCCGUGCACCAAGCCCGCCGGCGGCCCCCUACUCCGUCUCUGCAGCGUUGUGUCUCCGAGUAUACCAAAACAAGUCAAAACUUUCAACAACGGAUCUCUUGGCUCUA
rnacentral:misc_RNA from 1 species